UGAUACCCCAGGACAACAGAAGUUUACUGUGUUAAACUUUGUUAAAACAGGUUCUCAUUCAUGACAAAUUGAAGUUUUCCUCUACUGCAGCUGUGUGAUGAAGUGUGUAUUUAGCUACUGCUUGUAUGCUGUUGUGUGUGAAGUUUUUAUUUAACUUCCUCCCCUGCAGCUGCUGUGUGUUGAACUUUAGAUUUAACUUCUGUAUGUGUGUGCUGCUG
rnacentral:lncRNA from 1 species